rnacentral:rRNA from 1 species
CAGUCGCCGCGGGAAUACGUAGGGUGCAAGCGUUAAUCGGAAUUACUGGGCGUAAAGCGUGCGCAGGCGGUUAUAUAAGUCAGAUGUGAAAUCCCCGGGCUCAACCUGGGAACUGCAUUUGAGACUGUAUGGCUAGAGUGUGUCAGAGGGGGGUAGAACUCCACGUGUAGCAGUGAAGUGCGUAGAUAUGUGGAGGAAUACCGAUGGCGAAGGCAGCCCCCUGGGAUAACACUGACGCUCAUGCACGAAAGCGUGGGGAGCAAACAGGAUUAGAUGCCCCUGUAGUCCCUGUCUCUUAUAA